CGAGGGGCAGCAUGGUCUUAGCUUGCUAAGGCCGAUGGCGACCGGCGCACGGGUGAGUAACACGUAUCCAACCUGCCGUCUACUCUUGGACAGCCUUCUGAAAGGAAGAUUAAUACAAGAUGGCAUCAUGAGUCCGCAUGUUCACAUGAUUAAAGGUAUUCCGGUAGACGAUGGGGAUGCGUUCCAUUAGAUAGUAGGCGGGGUAACGGCCCACCUAGUCUUCGAUGGAUAGGGGUUCUGAGAGGAAGGUCCCCCACAUUGGAACUGAGACACGGUCCAAACUCCUGCGGGAGGCAGCAGUGAGGAAUAUUGGUCAAUGGGCGAGAGCCUGAACCAGCCAAGUAGCGUGAAGGAUGACUGCCCUAUGGGUUGUAAACUUCUUUUAUAAAGGAAUAAAGUCGGGUAUGGAUACCCGUUUGCAUGUACUUUAUGAAUAAGGAUCGGCUAACUCCGUGCCAGCAGCCGCGGUAAUACGGAGGAUCCGAGCGUUAUCCGGAUUUAUUGGGUUUAAAGGGAGCGUAGAUGGAUGUUUAAGUCAGUUGUGAAAGUUUGCGGCUCAACCGUAAAAUUGCAGUUGAUACUGGAUAUCUUGAGUGCAGUUGAGGCAGGCGGAAUUCGUGGUGUAGCGGUGAAAUGCUUAGAUAUCACGAAGAACUCCGAUUGCGAAGGCAGCCUGCUAAGCUGCAACUGA
rnacentral:rRNA from 1 species